CUACCUUCUACAAGAGCACAGUUUCCAUCUUCAGACAAUGAAGAGGCAUAAGAAGAGAGUGAGCAGUUCUCAUGUCAUAAGGAAACACAACCCAAAGCAUUCACUGUCUUGUUGUCUUCAAAACACAUAGGCAGAUGGCUGGAGUGCAGUGGCAUAACUCCCUGCAAACUUGAACUCCUGGCUCCAAAGAUCCUUCCACUUCAGCCUCCCAAGUGGCUGUAACUACAAGUGCAAUGCAUGCCACCACGCCCGGCUAAUUUUUAAAUUUUUGGUAGAUAUCGGUUCUUGGUUUGUUGCCUGGUCUAGUCUUAAACUCCUGGGCUCAAGCAAUCUUCUCACCCCAGCCUUACAAAGUGCUGGGAUUACAGGCAUGAGCCACUGCAUCUGGCUUUCUUUUUUCAUUUCUUUUGUUAACACUUAAUAUUUUACACGUUUAUGGGGUAACUUUGAGUAUUUUUUUACAUGCAUAGAAUGCAUAAUGAUCAAGUCAGGGUGUUUGAGGUAUCCAUCACCUGAGUAACUUAUUUCUAUGUGUUGGUAACAUUUUAAGGCCUCUCUUGUUGCUACUUUGAAACAUACAACUAUUGUUCCUAGCUAUAGUCAUCCUACUCUGAUGUAGAAAAUUGUAACUUAUUUCUUCUAUCUAACUGUAAGUUUGUAACUAUUCUCCAACAUCCCUUUAAUUUUUCCUCCCACCUUCACACCCUUCUCAGCCUAUAGUAUAUAUCAUUCUAUUCUUCAUCUCUAUGAGAUCAAGGUUUUUAGCUCCCACAUAUGAGUAAGAACAUGUGAUAUUUGUAUUUCUGUGCCUGGCUUAUUUCACUUAACGUAAUGACCUCCAGUUCUACCCAUGCUGCUGCAAAUGACAUGAUUUCAUUAUUUUUCUAUGACCAAAUAGUGUUUCAUUGUGCGUAUAUAUACAUACCACAUUUUCUCUAUCCAUUUGUCUGUUGAUGGACACUUA
rnacentral:lncRNA from 10 species